rnacentral:miRNA from 1 species
UACGUCGCGUUUCGAAAGGGA